UUUUACACUCUGGAAUCUGAAAUCAUUUCUUGGAUUUUAGGACAUUUUCAUGAUUAUAGGAUGUUUCUAGGAUUAUAGGAUGUGUGUAGGAUUUUGGGACAUUUCUGGGAUUUUGGGACAUUUCUGUGUGAUUUUAGUAAAAUGUGUCCAGGAGCAGUGUCUCAGUGUCUUUCUGUGAACAAUCAUCAAUAAAGAUCCAUUAAAAAUAAUAAAUACUGUGAUAUUGUGUGUGAUGACCUCACUGUUGACUGCAGGAGCUCUUCUUUGUUGGUGUCAGUGUCGGUCUCACCUGUCCCCUCCUGUCUGUUGUGUCUCCGCAGUGACGCUCACGUGUCGGCGCUGCUGUCUCUGAAGAGCGGCCUGUCGGCGGCUGACAUUCGCUCCAUCAGACGCAGCGUGGAGGAGAACCGCCUCCUGGAUGUCUCCACCAAUCAGAGCCCGCCAUUCUUCUCCAAGAUUCUUGAACUCACAUCAGAAACUCAGUAACACUUUACAGCUGUGAGCCCGAGCUGCCGCUGCUGCUGAACGCUGUCCUCCAGGUUCUCGAGGUUCUCCAGGUCCUCCUGGAAGACACCUCGGGGUAACAGAUCAGUAACAGAUGGAUCGGUACGUCUGAUUUGUUCUUUUUAUUUGUUAAAAUCCCCAUCAGCUGUGUCCUAAAGCACAGCUAACCUCCACCAAGCUCCACAAUGAAAACAUAUGACUGUCAGUACAAAAAACAAGACAGAGAAUUAACGAUAUAUGUGAUAAAUGUAUUUGCAUGUAUGAAUUUAUGUGUAUGUAAAUUAACAAAGUUUGCAGCGAAAACUACAAAUCUUCAUCAUAAUAUUGUAUGUUAAUCAAAAAAUCUUUAAAAAGUCAAAGUACAGUCAAAAAAACAUUAAACCUCUCAGCAGAGAAAAAGCAGUAAGUGCACAUUUAUGAAUUUAUGUGUGUGAACAGAAACCCUCAAUAAAGUUUGCAGCAAAAAACUA